rnacentral:rRNA from 1 species
GAUGAGCGCUAGCGGCAGGCCUAAUACAUGCAAGUCGAACGGUGUCUUCGGACAUAGUGGCGCACGGGUGCGUAACACGUAUGCAACCUACCUUACAUUGGGGGAUAGCCUUUCGAAAGGGAGAUUAAUACCGCAUAAGACAGUAGCUAGGCAUCCAGCAGCUGUUAAAGAUUUAUCGAUGUAAGCUGGGCAUACGUCCAAUUAGCUAGUUGGUGAGGUAACGGCUCACCAAGGCAAUGAUUGGUAGGGGAACUGAGAGGUCAAUCCCCCACACUGGCACUGAGAUACGGGCCAGACUCCUACGGGAGGCAGCAGUAGGGAAUAUUGGGCAAUGGACGCAAGUCUGACCCAGCCAUGCCGCGUGCAGGAUGAAGGCGUUAUGCGUUGUAAACUGCUUUUAUACAGGAAGAAGAGACCCUUGCGAGGGGCAGUGACGGUACUAUAAGAAUAAGCACCGGCUAACUCUGUGCCAGCAGCCGCAGUAAAAC